GUACUGGCUGUGAUGUUCAAAUCUACCUAUUUUAUGAGAGAAUUCACUUCUCUUGUGAUUAAAAAACCAAUGGAUCCUUCUGAGCCUACUC